rnacentral:rRNA from 1 species
CCUACGGGAGGCAGCAGCAAGGAAUUUUGCGCAAUGGACGAAAGUCUGACGCAGCAACGCCGCGUGGGGGAUGAAGGCCUUCGGGUUGUAAACCCCUUUUGCGAGGGAAGAAGAUCUGACGGUACCUCGCGAAUAAGCCACGGCUAACUACGUGCCAGCAGCCGCGGUAAUACGUAGGUGGCAAGCGUUGUCCGGAUUUACUGGGCGUAAAGCGCGCGCAGGCGGACUGGUUAGUCCGGGGUGAAAUCUCACGGCUCAACCGUGAGCGGUCCCCGGAUACUGCCAGCCUUGAGGGGUCUAGAGGAGAGCGGAAUUCCCGGUGUAGUGGUGGAAUGCGUAGAUAUCGGGAAGAACACCAGUGGCGAAAGCGGCUCUCUGGGGACCAUCUGACGCUGAGGCGCGAAAGCGUGGGGAGCGAACCGGAUUAGAUACCCGGGUAGUCCACGCCGUAAACGAUGAGUACUAGCUGUCGGGGGUAUCGACCCUCCGGUAGCGCAGCUAACGCGAUAAGUACUCCGCCUGGGGACUACGACCGCAGGUUAAACUACANAGAGUGCGNGNGAGNGUCGACGAGACGACGAGAGGAG